UUAGAAAAGGAAUUGCCUAAC
ensembl:piRNA 21ur-13069 ncRNA